rnacentral:sRNA from 1 species
AUUAGGCGGGCAUGAUGCCCGCAACGCAAAUAGCCUGACUCAAUGGCAAACAUUGAGUCCGCUUAUGGGAGCG